rnacentral:rRNA from 1 species
AGCGAACGCUGGCGGCAGGCUUAACACAUGCAAGUCGAACGGUCCUUCGGGAUAGUGGCGGACGGGUGAGUAACACGUGGGAACGUACCCUUAGGUUCGGAACAACACAGGGAAACUUGUGCUAAUACCGGAUAAGCCCUUCGGGGGAAAGAUUUAUCGCCUUUGGAGCGGCCCGCGUCUGAUUAGCUUGUUGGUGAGGUAAUGGCUCACCAAGGCUACGAUCAGUAGCUGGUCUGAGAGGAUGGCCAGCCACACUGGGACUGAGACAAGGCCCAGACUCCUACGGGAGGCAGCAGUGGGGAAUCUUGCGCAAUGGGCGAAAGCCUGACGCAGCCAUGCCGCGUGGAUGAUGAAGGUCUUAGGAUUGUAAAAUCCUUUCACCGGGGACGAUAAUGAUGGUACCCGGAGAAGAAGCCCCGGCUAACUUCGUGCCAGCCGCCGCCGUAA